UACGAAGGGGGCUAGCGUUGCUCGGAAUCACUGGGCGUAAAGGGUGCGUAGGCGGGUCUUUAAGUCAGGGGUGAAAUCCUGGAGCUCAACUCCAGAACUGCCUUUGAUACUGAAGAUCUUGAGUUCGGGAGAGGUGAGUGGAACUGCGAGUGUAGAGGUGAAAUUCGUAGAUAUUCGCAAGAACACCAGUGGCGAAGGCGGCUCACUGGCCCGAUACUGACGCUGAGGCACGAAAGCGUGGGGAGCAAACAGGAUUAGAUGACCCUA
rnacentral:rRNA from 1 species